rnacentral:rRNA from 1 species
GCAGUCGAGCGGGUUUGUCCUUCGGGACAAGCUAGCGGCGGACGGGUGAGUAACACGUAGGCAACCUGCCUUUAAGACUGGGAUAACUAUCGGAAACGAUAGCUAAACCGGAUAACUGGUUUUCUCGCAUGAGAGAAUUAUGAAACACGGAGCAAUCUGUGGCUUAAAGAUGGGCCUGCGGCGCAUUAGCUAGUUGGUAGGGUAACGGCCUACCAAGGCGACAUGCGUAGCCACCUGAGAGGGUGAACGGCCACACUGGGACUGAGACACGGCCCAGACUCCUACGGGAGGCAGCAGUAGGGAAUCUUCCGCAAUGGACGCAAGUCUGACGGAGCAACGCCGCGUGAGUGAUGAAGGUUUUCGGAUCGUAAAGCUCUGUUGCCCUAACGAACAGCAAGGAGAGUAACUGCUCUUUGUGUGACGGUAUAGGAGAAGAAAGCCCCGGCUAACUACGUGCCAGCAGCCGCGGUAAUACGUAGGGGGCAAGCGUUGUCCGGAAUUAUUGGGCGUAAAGCGCGCGCAGGCGGUCGUUUAGGUCUGGUGUUUAAGCCCGGGGCUCAACCCCGGUUCGCAUCGGAAACUGGAUGACUUGAGUGUAAGAGAGGAAAGUGGAAUUCCACGUGUAGCGGUGAAAUGCGUAGAGAUGUGGAGGAACACCAGUGGCGAAGGCGACUUUCUGGCUUAUAACUGACGCUGAGGCGCGAAAGCGUGGGGAGCAAACAGGAUUAAUACCCCGGUAGUCCACGCCGUAAACGAUGCAUACUAGGUGUCGGGGAUUCGAUUUCUCGGUGCCGAAGUUAACACAGUAAGUAUGCCGCCUGGGGA